rnacentral:rRNA from 1 species
AUUGAACGCUGGCGGCAGGCUUAAUACAUGCAAGUCGAGCGGAGUGAUGGUGCUUGCACUAUCACUUAGCGGCGGACGGGUGAGUAAUGCUUAGGAAUCUGCCUAUUAGUGGGGGACAACAUCUCGAAAGGGAUGCUAAUACCGCAUACGUCCUACGGGAGAAAGCAGGGGAUCACUUGUGACCUUGCGCUAAUAGAUGAGCCUAAGUCGGAUUAGCUAGUUGGUGGGGUAAAGGCCUACCAAGGCGACGAUCUGUAGCGGGUCUGAGAGGAUGAUCCGGCACACUGGGACUGGGACACGGGCCAGACUCCUGCGGGAGGCAGCAGUGGGGAAUAUUGGACAAUGGGGGGAACCCUGAUCCAGCCAUGCCGCGUGUGUGAAGAAGGCCUUAUGGUUGUAAAGCACUUUAAGCGAGGAGGAGGCUCUUUUGGUUAAUACCCAAGAUGAGUGGACGUUACUCGCAGAAUAAGCACCGGCUAACUCUGUGCCAGCAGCCGCAGUAA